rnacentral:rRNA from 1 species
UACGUAGGGGGCGAGCGUUGUCCGGAUUUAUUGGGCGUAAAGAGCUCGUAGGCGGCUCAGUAAGUCGGGUGUGAAAACUCCAGGCUCAACCUGGAGACGCCACCUGAUACUGCUGUGGCUAGAGUCCGGUAGGGGAGCAUGGAAUUCCUGGUGUAGCGGUGAAAUGCGCAGAUAUCAGGAGGAACACCAGUGGCGAAGGCGGUGCUCUGGGCCGGAACUGACGCUGAGGAGCGAAAGCGUGGGGAGCGAUCCGG